CAAAAGUGGUGAGGAGAAGGCUUCUCUGAAUGAAGACAACCUCCUUCUGGGAAAUGGUUGAUGAAUAACAGAUCAGAGGGAACCAAAUGCUCCAGAGGAGUGAAUCUACCUGUGGCUAGCUAGAAAUACUCUACCUCUGCUACCCUGACAGCAUUAGCUGUAAUUCAGAACUCUGCAAGAAUCCCACCCUAAGAGUCAGAUCCAGACCCAGCACUGUCUGAAGAGCUGGUGAACUCAGCACCCUGUCUUUAAAAUGUGUACAAGUAAAGCCAAAAGUGAUCUCUGGAGCUGGAGCAUCUCCUGGGCUAAACAAUAGUUCAGCAGGAUCACACAUUUGGGCUCAGUUUUGAAAUUAGGGACCCCAAUUCUGCAGUACUCUCACUUCGUAGGCCUGUAUUUCUUAUCCUGUAUGAUGUUUUAUUAAAGCAUCUUGUGAGAAUGGAAACCUUGUCCUGUAAGAGGAAAGCAUGAACAUAAAUUGUGUAAAAGUCUUUUUGAUUUGCCUGGUGUAAGCUAGGAAAAAGCAAACAUGCAUAAUAUAUGGUGAGAGGAAGAAAGGACCUGCUACUGCCAUACUUCUCCAUGCUUCAGUUCUUCUCAAUUUUAACGUGCUUUGGAACAAGAGGCAAUAAAUAUGUGCAUAAUAAUAACAUUUGGGUGUGACUGAAAGACAGCAAGUGAGCAGCUAGAGAACUUAACCUUACACUGUACUGCAACAGCCACAGCAAGCAGGAAAGAGGGGGCAGGUAGAGAAGGAUGGACUUCUCUUCACAGCUGCAGGUCUCCAAGGGGCUGAAGGCAGCAGACAAAUCCACUAUUUAGAGCCUUGUAGCAGACUGGAUUGGAGUUGACUAACCCUCUGAAACCUUCACGACAGGAACAGGAGGAGGAUAAGGCAGCACGAUAAGUUCGUGGUGUCACUGAAGUGAGCUCUUUUUCCACUGGGAAGAAGAAAUUUCACUGCAAUUCAGACAUGUUCCUAACAUAGUGGUCUACAGCAAACUCAGAGGUGCCAAGCCCCGCCAGCCCGAGACUUCAACCAGAGGAAUAACCAUGGUGCAGCAGACAGGCAUCCAGCCUCAGCCCACGCCUCCCUGCUGCUUCCCUGCCAGAGGAAGAAGAUCCCCUGGUGAGAUGUUCACCGCUGCCCCGGGACUCCUCUUCUGACACUCCAGCCUCCGGUAUGAUCCAAAUGC